rnacentral:rRNA from 1 species
UUGUCUGGCCAUACCACCCUGGAUUCUCACAAUCUUGUCUGAUCUCGAAAGCUAAGCAGGGUCGGGGCUGGUUAGUACUUGGAUGGGAGACAUGGAGGGGCUUGCACGCCACUUAGA